AGAGUUUGAUCAUGGCUCAGGAUGAACGCUAGCGGCAGGCCUAACACAUGCAAGUCGAGGGGUAACAUAGAAAAGCUUGCUUUUCUGAUGACGACCGGCGCACGGGUGCGUAACGCGUAUACAACCUACCUUUUAGCGGGGAAUAGCCCAGGGAAACUUGGAUUAAUGCCUCAUAGUAUAUAAGCUUCUCCUGAAGUUUAUAUUAAACAUUUAUGGCUAUUAGAUGGGUAUGCGUCCUAUUAGUUAGUUGGUAAGGUAACGGCUUACCAAGGCAGCGAUAGGUAGGGGUCCUGAGAGGGAGAUCCCCCACACUGGUACUGAGACACGGACCAGACUCCUACGGGAGGCAGCAGUGAGGAAUAUUGGACAAUGGGCGAGAGCCUGAUCCAGCCAUGCCGCGUGCAGGAAGACUGCCCUAUGGGUUGUAAACUGCUUUUACAGAGGAAGAACCACCCCCACGUGUGGGGGUUUGACGGUACUCUGCGAAUAAGGAUCGGCUAACUCCGUGCCAGCAGCCGCGGUAAUACGGAGGAUCCAAGCGUUAUCCGGAAUCAUUGGGUUUAAAGGGUCCGUAGGCGGGCAGUUAAGUCAGUGGUGAAAGUCUUCCGCUCAACGGGAGAACUGCCAUUGAUACUGAUUGUCUUGAGUUAUUAUGAAGUGGUUAGAAUGAGUAGUGUAGCGGUGAAAUGCAUAGAUAUUACUCAGAAUACCGAUUGCGAAGGCAGAUCACUAAUAAUAUACUGACGCUGAUGGACGAAAGCGUAUGUAGCGAACAGGAUUAGAUACCCUGGUAGUCUACGCCGUAAACGAUGGUUACUAGCUGUUCGGCCCAAUUGAGGGCUGAGUGGUUAAGCGAAAGUGAUAAGUAACCCACCUGGGGAGUACGUUCGCAAGAAUGAAACUCAAAGGAAUUGACGGGGGCCCGCACAAGCGGUGGAGCAUGUGGUUUAAUUCGAUGAUACGCGAGGAACCUUACCAAGGGCUUAAAUGUAGUCUGACAGGUCUGGGAAACAGACUUUUCUUCGGACAGAUUACAAGUGCUGCAUGAUGUCGUCAGCUCGUGCCGUGAGGUGGUCAGGGUUAAGUCCUAAUACGAGGCGGCAACCCCCUGGGUGGUUUAA
rnacentral:rRNA from 1 species